UUCUAUCUUUUUAUUUUACUUUUACUUUUAUUUUCUUUUUAUUUAUUAUAUGAUUUAAAAAACAAACCUUGCUACAUGUACUGCAUUAAAGGGUUAGUUCACCCAAAAAUUUAAAUUGACUUGUGUUUUACUCAUCCUCAAAGCAUCUUAGAUGUAUUUAAUUUUCUUCUUUCAGACGAUUCCAGUCAGAUUUAUAUAAAAAAUCGUCCUGGCUAUUCCAAGCUCUAUCACUGCAGUCAGCGGGUGUUGCAUUCAAACAGUCCACUAGUUGUCAAAUAAAGCGCGCGCAUCCAUAAUAAAUUGUGCUUCACACGGAUCCGAGUGGUUUUGUAAGAAAAAUAUCCAUAUUUCAAAUGUAAUAUACACUUUUCCAUCACUUCCGCCAACUGUCAUACGUGGAAGCCGUGCCGGCAGACAACGUAGCACAUCGGCCUUGUGUGAUUAGUGCCUAACGGAGAGAGAGAACAAAACAAAACGCCAAAAAUUCACCCCCUCACAGUUGUCAUGAAGGGUAGGUAAAAUUAGCAAUAUAGACCAAAAUAAUUUUUUGAACCAGGCUGUAAACGUUUUUUUCUGCUGUAUAGUUGGCCAUUUUAACAUGGGGAGUCUAUGGGACUGACUCCCUUUUGCAGCCAGCCUCAAGCGGCCAGUCGAUGAAUUGCAGUUUUAGUCACUUCCUUAUUGUCUUCACGAGAGAGAGGGAGGUUGCCGCUCAGUCGUGAACAAGAAACGUCAGACUAUACGUUACCCGACCAUUAAAAUCAUGCCGUCAUAAACAACGUGCGUGCUGUCAUCAAUAGUGCUAGACAAGACAGAAUCUGCUAUGAUCAUAAACAAACAAUGGCUAGCAAAAAAAUGGCUUGUUUUGCCCUGUCUUGUCAUCAGAAAAGCCCCAAAAAGAAAGAAAACCUGACAAUGGACACAUAUCUGGAUGGCCUGAAGAGGAUGGUAUGGACUGUCAAAGAGAACUGAGCUUGUACAAAGGCACUUCUGUGCUCCUAUUGGCCAGUGUCAUAGCUGUGAUGGAACUGAGGAGCGUCUCGCUGCAGCCUGCGGUGGACAUCCAACCCGGCCCACAUCCAAGUGUGACGUCACAGACCACGCCCAUGUCAAAAUACGUCACAUUCUCAAUCAUUUUGAAACAGGAAGAAGCAUCGAUAAGAAGAUAAUUUGUAUUGUUUGCCAACCGCUAAAAAAAGAAGCUGUUGUUUGCCGUGUCGGAUUCUACACAUUUUCAGUCCAAGCCUGAUGCAGGGCAGUUCUCCCGGGUUAAGGGGUCCCUGCUGCAGUUUCACCAGUAAAGAAAAUUACUUGUUACAGUUCACUUGAAGGACCACAUAAGCCAUGCAGUGGUGCAUGGAGGUAUGGAGCGCCAAGAGGACAUAAAGUGGAAGUUUGUAAGGGACAUUGGUCCAGCGUGGUACAGAGUCAUCGUAGGUUAUUCUGUGGGGAGGUGACAGGGCCUGCCGUUCUCCAGAUGGACAGUAAAAAUCAACAGAAUGCCAUCAAAGACUACCUGGAGGGAGAAUCGGAGGAUAUAUUGAAGCAAGGAAUCUCUCUGUGUAGUCUAUGUAUGUAUGUGUGUGUACUGCAUGUCAAGAACUGUUUAUCUGAUCAUUCAGCUGCUCAGACUUUAUAAUAUUUGGAGCAUACCUUUUGUUAAACAACCAGUCAAAAGUUUUUGAACAGUGAGAUUUUUUUAUGUUUUUAAAGAAAUAUCUUCUGCUCAUCAAGCCUGCAUUUAUUUAAUCCGAAGUACAGCAAAAACAGUCCAAUUUUAAAAUAUUUGUAUAAUAUUUUGCUUUUGUAAUAUAUUUUGCUAUUUAAAAUAACAAUUUUCUAUAUUUCUAUUAAAAUGAAAUUUAUUCCUGUGAUUUCAAAGGUGACUUACUCCAGUCACAUGAUCCUUCAUUCUAAUAUGCUGAUUUGAUGCUCAAAAAACAUUUUAUUAUUAUUAUGUUAAUACACUGAAGACUGGAGUAAUGAUGAAGAAAAUUCAGCUUUGAUCACAGGAAUAAACUGCAUUUUUAAAAUACAUUCAAAUAGAAAGCAGUUCUUUUAAAUUGUAAAAAUAUUUCACAUUACUGUUUUUGCUGUGUUUUUGGAUCAAAUAAAUCCUGGCUUGGUGAGCAGAAGAGACUUUAAAAAAUAAUAAAAAUCUUACUGUUCAAAAACUGGUGGUGUAUAUUAUUAUUAUUAUUAUUAUUAUUAUUUGUAAAAUUGUACAUGUAAUUAUUUUUGUAAAAUAAUAAAUAUAAAAAUA
ensembl:lncRNA